CACGGGAUUAGCUUUAAUGAAAUUAGCUAAUCCGCGCGUUGAAGAUUUUCAGGACUGUGGAGAGGUGCCGAAUUCGGGCGGACUGCGCAAUCCCUCGCCUCCUCUCGCUCCCUCACUCACUCUCGCCUCCUCUCAUCAACGCCUCUACACCAGGUUCUCUCUCUCUCUCUCUAUUAAUCUGAAGUUGACUCUUCCGAUUAGACGCCGAUGCGGCGAUGCCACAAAGAAGAAGACGCCUCCAGAUCUUGGAUGGAGGAGAUUGGAGUUGUGCGGCGGUAGAACAGCGAGGUAAACCACCUGCUGGAAUCGGUGUUUGAUUCUUAUAAGAAGGCGCUGGAUGUCGGCACGGUGAAGUUGAUAACUGCGGCGGAGGCGGAGGAGGUGGAGGAGGAGAGGAUGGAGUCAUAAACUCAUCAGUUGUUACUCCAAAGACGCACGGUGUUUCUCCCGAGAAGAAAGUACCCAAUUCAACCAUGUCCUUGGGUUAUGCAGAGAAGCUUCCUACAUUGAAGAUGUCGGCAGCGUCGGAAUGUCUGAACAUUUCAACACACCUGACGUUUUGCAACAAAAGGAUCUGCUUCCACUUCUGCGCUUCUGGGUUUUAGCUCCAAUCCUCAGAGAGUUCCCUUGGUUAAAUUUUGGUGCAAGUUGGAUGCUUUAGAACUGGGUUUUAUGAGGGUUUUGAAGAACAACUUUAAGAAAUUGAGCGGCCAAUAAUCUUGGGUUCUUUUUUCUCUUAGACUAUAAAGCUCACCCAUUUCAUUGAUGAUUGUAAACAAACCAAGAAUAUUUGAUUCUUAGCUCAUUUGUCAUGGUUUGGUUCUGAUAAAGGUUCUGACUUGUAAGGCUAAAGCCUAUCAUGUAGUAUCCUGGUUAGAUUUUGAUUACUUGUGACCUGUGUUAGGUGAAUACAUAUUUAAUUGUAUGUUACUAUACUAUUGAUGCUUUAAUAAGAGUUCUUAUUUUGAUGAUCA